rnacentral:lncRNA from 10 species
ACGACUGGAAUCACACAUACACUGCCACAAGAGGUCUGCAGUGAAGGUCCCAAAGUCCCAGACAGAUCUUUCUGCUGAUGCAGCUGUUAAGAGUGUUUCAUAAACUGUGACAACACUAAGCAAAAUCAUAGAAGGAAACUCUAUGGACAAUUUCAGAUGGAGAAGAAGAAAGGACUGGAAGUUCAAUUUGGCCAUGACAAUUAGCUCCUAAGACUUGGAGUACUUUGUUACACAGCAGUAAAUAACUAAUACAGUGAUGUUUGAACAAAGACUUGAAGAAGCUGAGUGAGAAGGCCAUGCAGAUAUCUUGGAGAAGUGCAUUCCAGGCAGAGGAAAAGCCAGUGCAGAGACACUGAAGCAGGGCAUGACUGAUGUGUAUAAGGAGCAUCAUAUACAUGAUCAUCUACAGUCCACUGAGGAGAAUAGCAGACGAGAGGCCAGGUGCAGUGCAUGUAAUCCCAGCACUUUGGGAGACUGAGAUGGGAAGAUCGCUUGAGGCCAGGAGUGCAAGACCAGCCUGGGCAACACAGCAAGACCUUGAUUCUACUAAAAAAAAAAAAGGAUCCUUCAACUUCAACAAUAAUAACACAAGGGAAGUGAAGAAAAACACUUUCUAAGGAAAUCUCUCUCUGAGCUACCAUCCUGCUAGGGAGAGCCUGAAAGCAGAAUGCUGACUUGACUAGCUCUGGUCAAUGAAAGAAAUCACCAGUGGAAAGGCUACCAGGGGGCUUUCUCAAAAGAGAGGGACAGU